CUCGGAGUUUGAUCCUGGCUCAGAUUGAACGCUGGCGGAAUGCUUUACACAUGCAAGUCGAACGGUAGAGGGGGCAACCCCUUGAGAGUGGCGAACGGGUGAGUAAUAUAUCGGAACGUACCCAGUCGUGGGGGAUAACGUAGCGAAAGUUACGCUAUACCGCAUACGAUCUAAGGAUGAAAGCGGGGACUCGCAAGAGCCUCGCGCGAUUGGAGCGGCCGAUACUCAGUAUUAGGUAGUU
rnacentral:rRNA from 1 species